UAGCCGUAAACGAUACUCGCUAGGUGUCGGCCACGGUGCGACUGUUGUCGGUGCCGUAGGGAAGCCGUGAAGCGAGCCACCUGGGAAGUACGGCCGCAAGGCUGAAACUUAAAGGAAUUGGCGGGGGAGCACAACAACGGGUGGAGCUUGCGGUUUAAUUGGAUUCAACGCCGGAAAUCUUACCGGGACCGACAGCAACAUGAAGGCCAAGCUGAAGACUUUGCCGGAUUAGCUGAGAGGUGGUGCAUGGCGUAGUCGUGU
rnacentral:rRNA from 1 species